rnacentral:rRNA from 1 species
GUUAGGAAUAUUGGACAAUGGGCGAAAGCCUGAUCCAGCCAUGCCGCGUGAACGAUGAAGGCCUUCGGGUUGUAAAGUUCUUUAGCCGAUGAUUAUAAUGACUGUAGUCGGAAAAUAAGCCCCGGCUAACUUCGUGCCAGCAGCCGCGGUAAUACGAAGGGGGCGAGCGUUAUUCGGAAUCCCUGGGCGUAAAGCGUGCGUAGGCGGUUUGGUAAGUUAGGAGUGAAAGCCCUGGGCUCAACCUUGGAAUUGCUCUGAAAACUGCAAGGCUCGAAUUUCGGAGAGGAUAGCGGAAUUUCCAGUGUAGCAGUGAAAUGCGUGGAUAUUGGAAGGAACACCAGUGGCGUAAGCGGCUAUCUGGACGAGUAUUGACGCUGAGGCACGAAAGCGUGGGGAUCAAACAGGAUUAGAAACCCCUGUAGUCC